UACGUAUGGUGCAAGCGUUAUCCGGAUUUACUGGGUGUAAAGGAAGCGCAGGCGGCACGGCAAGCCUGAUGUGAAAGCCCGCGGCCCAACCGCGGGACUGCAUUGGGAACUACCGGGCUGGAGCGCCGGAGAGGUAGGCGGAAUUCCUAGUGUAGCGGUGAAAUGCGUAGAUAUUAGGAGGAACACCAGUGGCGAAGGCGGCCUACUGGACGGUGACUGACGCUGAGGCUCGAAAGCGUGGGGAGCAAACAGG
rnacentral:rRNA from 1 species